rnacentral:misc_RNA from 1 species
CAAAGUUGAUGUGGAAAAGAGUGUUAGCAUUUUGAGUGAAUUGAAUGCUGUAAGGCAUGUUCUGAAUGUUGUGAAAGAACACCGAGAAGAAGGUUUGUGGCAAAAAUCCUUUUGGGUUAUUGAAAGAUUCUUGAUGAAAGGUGGGGAUAAGUCUGCUUCGGACAUAUCACAGGAUAGGUUGUUGCCUGCCACUUUAAUUAGUGCUUUUCAUCACGGGAAUGGUAAUACCAGGCAGAUGGCUGAGAAGAUCUUGAGUCUUUUAAACAAGGG